rnacentral:rRNA from 1 species
GUGGGGAAUAUUGGACAAUGGGCGAAAGCCUGAUCCAGCCAUGCCGCGUGUGUGAAGAAGGUCUUCGGAUUGUAAAGCACUUUAAGUUGGGAGGAAGGGCAUUAACCUAAUACGUUAGUGUUUUGACGUUACCGACAGAAUAAGCACCGGCUAACUUCGUGCCAGCAGCCGCGGUAAUACGAAGGGUGCAAGCGUUAAUCGGAAUUACUGGGCGUAAAGCGCGCGUAGGUGGUUCGUUAAGUUGGAUGUGAAAGCCCCGGGCUCAACCUGGGAACUGCAUCCAAAACUGGCGAGCUAGAGUACGGUAGAGGGUGGUGGAAUUUCCUGUGUAGCGGUGAAAUGCGUAGAUAUAGGAAGGAACACCAGUGGCGAAGGCGACUACCUGGACUGAUACUGACACUGAGGUGCGAAAGCGUGGGGAGCAAACAGGAUUAGAAACCCCAGUAGUCC